rnacentral:rRNA from 1 species
GGAGCCGUAGCGAAAGCGAGUUUUAACUGAGCGUUCAGUUACUUGACGUAGACCCGAAACCGGGCGACCUACCCAUGAGCAGGAUGAAGCGAAAGUAAAAUUUCGGGGAGGUCCGAACCCACGAGCGUUGAAAAGCUCGGGGAUGACUUGUGGGUAGCGGUGAAAUUCCAAUCGAGCCCGGAGAUAGCUGGUUCUCCCCGAAAUAGCUUUAGGGCUAGCCUCAAGGUGAGAGA